rnacentral:rRNA from 1 species
UUGACCUCGAAUCAGGUAGGAAUACCCGCUGAACUUAAGCAUAUCAAUAAGCGGAGGAAAAGAAACCAACAGGG